AUAGAAUCUCAUAAAUUAUUUUUGUGUGUAUAUAUAUAUAUAUCGAUUUUUUUGUUCGUUUGUAAUACAUUUUUUCUGUUCUGCCGCAUAAUCAUAUUCAAUAAUUCAAUUGCAAUAUUAAUAAUUGUUUUGUUGUUUUGGGAAUUUUUUUUAUUAAUUUGGUUGUGGGUGUCGGUUGUGGGUUACUCUCUUGUUCGACUUUGAUUGCAGUAAGACCUUUUGCUUGUUUAGUUUCAUUUAGUUUGAAAUAUUUGUAUGUAUAUAUGCUCCAAGUCUGUACAAAUUUGUAGACUUCUCUGCAUGCUCCAGAUGUUGGUAUAAUUUAUAACCACACCACCAGCGUGCACACUUACUACAUACACAUAUAUAGGUAUACAAUAUUUCAUGGUAGUUCUGUAUUUAUACCCGGUUUUUGUUGUAUUUAGUUACGAUACUAUGCUACUUGGCAUCACCAUCACCCGCAUCCUUAUUGGCAUUCGCAUUUGCCGCUGCCGCUUCCAUUUACAUUAUACAUUUAUAACCAUAAUAAUUUACAAGUUAAAUGGCUUAGAAAUUAAUAGUAGGAUCCCCUGUGUGGGCUACCAUACAUAAUACAUAAAACUCUUUCUAAUUAAAGUUAAAAACAUUUCCCGCUUCAUCGUUAUAUCGUUCUAUCGUUCUAUCGUUUUGUUUGUUUAUAUGUUUGCCUGUUUGCCUGUCUCCGUCGCGUGUUUGAUCUAGUUUGUUCUGUCUUUACGGUUCGGAUCUGUCGGGUUUGGGGUUUGUUCUGUUCCGUUCGGUUGGGCUCUGUUCUGUGUAUGGAUUUUUGUCUAUUUACAGUGUGGAAAUAUCUAAUUUAUUUAUAUUUCGUAACUUAUUACUUCGCUCUGUGUUUGUAUUGCAGACGAACGUUUUGCAGACUUGUCUUGACUUACAGUUUAGUUUCUGGAAAAAGACGAAAAUAAAAUCUCUCUCCAGGGUUUUCCUUCCUUUCAUUUUGUUUUGUUUUGCUAACGUUAUAAUAAUGUUUAAACGUACAUUUUUAAAUAGCUCUAAUUAAAAUAGAAUUCAAUUUUAUUAAUUUGUUAUAAUUGUUUUCUGUUUUUCUUUGCUGGUUUUUGGUGCAUUUAAAAAUAGUGCAAAAAUACAUUUUCGAAAACUUUUUGGUGCAUACUUUGAGGCGGUGCAUUCAAAUCACAACAUUUACAUUUUAAGUGCAUUUACGUGUGUGUUGGUGUGAAUGUGGUGUUUCUUUUGGCUCUUGGCGUGGAUGUGUUCUUUAAGUAUACAUGUGCAUACAUGUCAUGUAUGUGUGUGUGUGUAUGUGUGGAUAGAAGUAGUUGGUGGUAGUUGCUAUAUGCGUUCUGUUUUCGCUUUAGUUGAGGAUUCCGCUCCAAAGCUUCAGUUUAGGACGGAUUGCUUUUAAGCUUUGAUUGUGUGCAUGUUAGGGGAAUGCAGUAUGCACAGCUGCAUACAACAUCUCGAUUUGCGUUUUAGGUACUGGUGACUACUUAUGCUUAUAGCUCGAAAAUACUCUUUUGAUUCCUGUGAGUGUUGGCUCAUCCAGGUGGGGUUCCCUGUGCAUCCAUGGCGUGUGGAGCAGUUGCUCUUUGCCUCUUCGAUGGCUGUGUCUGUGUUGUGUGUUGUGGGUUUGGGUGUGGGUGUGGUGUCUGUGUUUCUGUGGAAGACUAGUCGCCACAGUUCCCAUGAAGCAUCUUCUUCUGAGUACAGCAGAGGCCCCUUGCCUUCUCCUUUUCUGCUGAUUUGUGCAAUUACUACAUCGAAUCUCUAUUUAAUUAGUCUCUAAUACGAAUUCCGGUUUCGCUUUCAAUUUCGUUUCCUUUUUGAUUUUUGGUUUUUGUUUUGUGGUAAGUGCAACAGCGGUGCAUUAGUACAUGUAAAUACAUAGAAAAAGUUACAUUUUGGAUUUUGUGCUAAUUAUUUAUCACAUAAAAAGUGCAGCAGUGCAAAACUAUUUACGAUAAUUGUUUGACAUCAUUUCCAUUGUUAAUAAUUGAUAUUGAACACAAAUGAUUAAUAUGUGCCGUGUCCGAGUGUUUCGAGUGUGGUUUCUGGGUAGGUGUUGGUGUCGGGUGUUGUGUUUUUGCUUGUGGCUAUGUGUGGGCGCGUAAAUGAUUAUCCUAAAUAUAUGAUGGAAUCAGUUUCAAUUAAUAUUCAACAUGUUGAAGGGUGUAGUUAUUGCCAGGGGAGAACAUAAAAUAAUUGCAUUUGCCCCAGAGCAAACGAACAAUUAUGAAUUGCUGAAGCUCCAACGAAAAGAGCCCUGCCUCCCAAUUAAGUGUGGCCUGAAGCAAAACCAAGAACAAUGAGGUGUCGCCGCAUCUGGUUAAUUUUCCAAAUGAUAAACACUAAGGCUCUUCAAUCUCUUCAAACAAUUUAUAAUGAGCACUUUGCAUGCAAAACCCCAUAGCCUACUUGGGGGUCGGUUUCGAGUUUAUCUACUUAUUACCGUGCUGGAAACUACUCGUAAUCGUAUUUGCCCUUCACUGGUCGGUGUCCUCAUGCAAUGGUUGCGUUUGGCCGUUUGGCCAGUUUGCAAAAGGAGAAAUCGGAUGACAGCAAGAAAAAAGAGUGUGAGAGGGAUAAAAGUGGGAUUGAAUGGGAUCAGUGGCUCUGGUUGUGUCUGCGUUGAGUGCGGCUUUUGGUGGCAUACACCCGUAGUCGAACAAAGCCGCAUGAAAGCUGUGUAACACAACACCUGAUGCCCAUUGAAGGCCACUUUUUGACCGGUGCAAAGUCUCUGCAGGAAUUGUUAUGUCUAGCUAUAUUGACGGAGUUUUGCAUGCAGCCUCCAAUGCUUCCAUAAAUUGUUUCGCAAACUUUUCAACAUUUCUCCAGGCUUUCAUUUCUUAGUCGCUACUAAAUGUGAGUAAAUGGAUAUUAAUACUUGAAUAGUUUAUACUUUAUACUUAUAUGUGCGGCUACUUCCUUUAUGUAUUUACUCGUUUGCUUAUCUACUAAACAUCCAGAAAACAUUUAUACUUUAUGCUUGAUUGGGUAAAUAUUUGCUACAUACAUAUUUAUGUGUAUAUGUAUGGACUUCGUGUACGGAUUUCAUCUUCAUUUUAAUCAAAAUCCAAGUUCGUUCUGCUCACAAAACUCUUUUUGGAAUUGAAUCAAGCGAUCCGCUCAUUCAAUCGCUCCCAAACCCGACUGCUGGAUAAUACUUAUGUAAUCGUUUUUGAGAGUACAAUACUAUAUAUUUGCGAUACUUUUUGGCUACGCUCGUACUUUGGAUAUUUAAUUUAAUUUAAUACUUAAAUUAUGCUGUUUUUUCCGCCGAGACAUUGUUGAAAAGUUUGCUUUCCUGCCAAGUGAAGUGCCUUACAUUUAUUUGUUGGCCAUACCUACAUUAUUCCUUUACCAUAAGACACACAAUAUGAGGAUUCAUUGGUGCUUAUUAAACUUAAGUCUUAAACUUUCAGGCUUCAACUGUUAAACUUCCACUGAGUGCUGAGCUGCCUCGGAGAAUGGCAAGCGCUUGCAGAAGGCUCUUUAGUUGCCAAGGCAACCGACAGAGUUAUAAACCGAAUGGAUUUUCAUAAGAAAAGUGCAUUUGUGAGCACUAAAGAGCUCCCCAUUUUCUUUCAUUGUCAUUCACCUUUUUUCGCAUGAAUUGCACCAAACAAAUAUGUACAAAUAUGUAUAUGUUUGGUGUACAUUGGUGUAUGUAUUUAUUGGGCAUGCUUGGGGUUUAUCAACUUACUGUGACUGUGUGUGGUCUAUUCUUGUAGGUGUUGUUGUUGUUGUAGUUAUUGUUGUGGAGAGGAAAACGGAACAUAUUCUACUGAAAUAUUGAUCAAAAAUUGUAUGUAAAGAAAUCAGAAAUGCAUAUUUGGGUUUUGUUUUCAGUGUAUAUUAGGUUGUGUAUUUGUUUUUCAUCUUUUCUUUGUUUUUUUUUUUUUGUUUUGUUGUGUUUUUGUUGUUGUAUUUUUUGGUUUUUG
rnacentral:lncRNA from 1 species